rnacentral:rRNA from 1 species
UCCUGGCUCAGAUUGAACGCUGGCGGUAUGCUUAACACAUGCAAGUCGAACGGUAACAGGAGAGAGCUUGCUCUCUUGCUGACGAGUGGCGGACGGGUGAGUAACGCGUAGGAAUCUGCCUAUUAGUGGGGGACAACUUCCGGAAACGGAAGCUAAUACCGCAUACGCCCUACGGGGGAAAGCAGGGGAUCUUCGGACCUUGCGCUAUUAGAUGAGCCUGCGUUGGAUUAGUUAGUUGGUGAGGUAAUGGCUCACCAAGACAGCGAUCCAUAGCUGGUCUGAGAGGACGAUCAGCCACACUGGGACUGAGACACGGCCCAGACUCCUACGGGAGGCAGCAGUGGGGAAUAUUGGACAAUGGGCGCAAGCCUGAUCCAGCAAUACCGCGUGUGUGAAGAAGGCCUGCGGGUUGUAAAGCACUUUCAAUUGUGAAGAAAAGCUGAAGGUUAAUAACCUUUGUCUUUGACGUUAACUUUAGAAGAAGCACCGCUAAGGGUGCAAGCGUUAAUCGGAAUUACUGGGCGUAAAGCGUGCGUAGGCGGUUUGGUCAGUCAGAUGUGAAAGCCCUGGGCUUAACCUGGGAACUGCAUUUGAUACUGCCAAGCUAGAGUAUGGUAGAGGGAAGUGGAAUUUCGGGUGUAGCGGUGAAAUGCGUAGAUAUCCGAAGGAACACCAGUGGCGAAGGCGACUUCCUGGACCAAUACUGACGCUGAGGUACGAAAGCGUGGGUAGCAAACAGGAUUAGAUACCCUGGUAGUCCACGCCGUAAACGAUGUCAACUAGCCGUUGGUCUCAUUAAAGAGAUUAGUGGCGCAGCUAACGCGAUAAGUUGACACAAGCGGUGGACAUGUGGUUUAAUUCGAUGCAACGCAAAAAACCUUACCAGCUCUUGACAUCCUGCAAAAAUAAAUUGGUGCCUUCGGGAACGCAUUGACGGUGCUGCAUGGCUGUCGUCACUCGUGUCGUGAGAUGUGGGUUAAUUCCCGUCUUAUUGCCAGCACGUAAUGGUGGGAACUCUAGGAGACUGCCGGUGAUAAACCGGAGGAAUGUGGGGAUGACGUCAAGUCAUCAUGGUCCUUAUGAGCUGGGCUACACACGUGCUACAAUGGUCGGUACAGACGGUUGCGAACCCGCGAGGGGAAGCUAAUCCGAGAAAGCCGAUCGUAGUCCGGAUCGCAUCUGCAACUCGACUGCGUGAAGUCGGAAUCGCUAGUAAUCGCGAAUCAAAUGUCGCGGUGAAUACUUCCCGGGCCUUGUACACACCGCCCGUCACACCAUGGGA